AUUGAACGCUGGCGGCAGGCCUAACACAUGCAAGUCGAACGGUAACAGGAAGAAGCUUGCUUCUUUGCUGACGAGUGGCGGACGGGUGAGUAAUGUCUGGGAAACUGCCUGAUGGAGGGGGAUAACUACUGGAAACGGUAGCUAAUACCGCAUAAUGUCGCAAGACCAAAGAGGGGGACCUUCGGGCCUCUUGCCAUCGGAUGUGCCCAGAUGGGAUUAGCUAGUAGGUGGGGUAACGGCUCACCUAGGCGACGAUCCCUAGCUGGUCUGAGAGGAUGACCAGCCACACUGGAACUGAGACACGGUCCAGACUCCUACGGGAGGCAGCAGUGGGGAAUAUUGCACAAUGGGCGCAAGCCUGAUGCAGCUAUGCCGCGUGUAUGAAGAAGGCCUUCGGGUUGUAAAGUACUUUCAGCGGGGAGGAAGGGAGUAAAGUUAAUACCUUUGCUCAUUGACGUUACCCGCAGAAGAAGCACCAGCUAACUCCGUG
rnacentral:rRNA from 1 species